rnacentral:rRNA from 1 species
CCCUUAGAUGUUCUGGGCCGCACGCGCGCUACACUGAUUCAUGCAACAAGUUUUGUCCUUGGCUGAUAGGCCUGGGUAAUCUUUGAACGUGAAUCGUGAUGGGGAUAGAUGAUUGCAAUUAUUCAUCUUCAACGAGGAAUUCCUAGUAAACGCAAGUCAUCAGCUUGCAUUGAUUACGUCCCUGCCCUUUGUACACACCGCCCGUCGCACCUACCGAUUGAAUGGUCCGGUGAAAUCUUCGGAUCUGAGAGAUGUCUGAUUAAUUUCGGACGCCUUUUGGAAAAGUUGUUUAAACCUUACCAUUUAGAGUAAGGUGAAGUCGUAACA